GACGAACGCUGGCGGCGUGCUUAACACAUGCAAGUCAAGGGGGCUCUCGCAAGGGAGCAACCGGCGAACGGGUGCGUAACACGUGAGCGACCGACCCUACUGGCGGGGGAUAGCCGGCCCAACGGCCGGGUAAUACCGCAUACGCUCUGGCAGUUGCAUGAGUGCCAGAGGACAGCUUCUCGGCAACGGGAGGCGCCAGAGGACGGGCUCGCGGCCUAUCAGCUUGUGGCGGGGUAACGGCCCACCAAGGCGACGACGGGUAGCUGGUCUGAGAGGAUGGCCAGCCACAUUGGGACUGAGAAACGGCCCAGACUCCUACGGGAGGCAGCAGUGGGGAAUAUUGCGCAAUGGCCUAACGGCUGAC
rnacentral:rRNA from 1 species